AGCAGCGUGGCUCAGUGGAAAGAGCCUGGGCUUCGGAGUUAGAGGUCAUGGGUUCGACUCCCAGCUCUGCCA
rnacentral:tRNA from 1 species